rnacentral:rRNA from 1 species
GAUGAACGCUGGCGGCGUGCCUAAUACAUGCAAGUCGAGCGAACAGAUGAGAAGCUUGCUUCUCUGAUGUUAGCGGCGGACGGGUGAGUAACACGUGGGUAACCUACCUAUAAGACUGGGAUAACUCCGGGAAACCGGGGCUAAUACCGGACAAUAUUUUGAACCGCAUGGGUCGAUAGUGAAAGACGGUUUCGGCUGUCACUUACAGAUGGACCCGCGCCGUAUUAGCUAGUUGGUAAGGUAACGGCUUACCAAGGCGACGAUACGUAGCCGACCUGAGAGGGUGAUCGGCCACACUGGAACUGAGACACGGUCCAGACUCCUACGGGAGGCAGCAGUAGGGAAUCUUCCGCAAUGGCGAAAGCCUGACGGAGCAACGCCGCGUGAGUGAUGAAGGUCUUCGGAUCGUAAAACUCUGUUGUUAGGGAAGAACAAAUUUGUUAGUAACUGAACAAGUCUUGACGGUACCUAACCAGAAAGCCACGGCUAACUACGUGCCAGCAGCCGCGGUAA